rnacentral:lncRNA from 1 species
GAGGGAAGACUAGGAUGAUACCUGGACGGCAGAGACAGCAGUGAUCCAGUUCCAGUCCCACUUCCUCAACUGCCGGCUGGUGGUUUCCACCUGCAUGUGCUCAUCUCUUUACUCAUGCCCUAAGGACUCAACACCAGUGCCUGAUAGGAUCUACUGAGGAUGCUGAAACUCACUUGAUAGAUGUUCAAGCUCCCCACGCCUUCUCCAGCUGGUGAUGGAGUCUUGCUCUGUCGCCCACGCUGGAGUGCAAUGGCGCGAUCUCAGCUCACUGCAACCUCCACCUUCCAGGUUCAAGUGAUUCUCCUGCCUCAGCCUUUCAAGUAGCUGGGAUUACAGGUGUGUGCCACCACGCCCAGCUAAAUUUUGUAGUUUUAGUAGGGAUGGGACUUCACCAUGUUGGCCAGGCUGAUUUCGAACUCCUGUCCUCAAGUGAUCCCACCCGCCUCAGCCUGCCAAAGUGCUGGGAUUACAGGCAUGAGCCACCACGCCUGACCUGACAUAACUAUCUUAACAGCAGCUCUGUGGAUUAGGUAUUAUUAUUAUUAUCCCCAUUUUACAGAUAAGAAAAA